AGUUGGCGAUGAGGUUGUCUCUUCGGAGACAUCCGAUAAAAUUGGAACGAUACAGAGAAGAUUAGCAUGGCCCCUGCGCAAGGAUGACACGCACAAAUCGAGAAAUGGUCCAAAUUUUUUUUCGCUCUCGGCAUUCUUUCCUUGUUCGAUCGCGAUCGGGCUGCUCUUCUUAUGCUCUUUUGUUCUUUCUUGCUUCGUGUUCUUCUGCUCUCUCUGUCCCAAAAUCUUCAUCUUUUUCUCGUUCUUUUCCUUGUUAUUUCCUUGAUCAAGGCACAGGGAGGAAGAAAGCUGCUUCUUCGGAGUGCGGUCGUGUUCCUUGUCCUCGUUGGUCAGUCCAUGGACGCUGGUCCUCUUCCUCGCUCGCUGAUCCACACCAAUGCGGACGCCUCCGUAGAAUCAAAUCGCAUGAUGUGCUGCCCUUGGUCCGAAGCGCCGCUGCGAGGAAAAAGAUUGUCCGACAUCACCAACACGGUGAGUUCGGGGACGGCCGGAAUGAUGCGUGCCGAUGUCGAUCAAGGUAACUCGAAUGUGAUUUCUUGCCCGAUCUCCAAAGAUUGCAUCGUCCAGCACAUGAAGGUACCUUUGGAGAUUUUCUUUUUGGUCUCCCUUUUUCAUCUUUCUUUCAUUCUUCAUCUGCAUUUAGUGUUUGUUUCUAAAAAAGAUGUUUGAAAAUGCUUUUUUCUUUACAUGAUCAAUAUGAAUUCCAGGAAAAUACUGCCUUGUUGAAGCUUCUUGCAGAAAAGAAGUAUGUAAAUUGUAAAACACAAAUUACUUCUUGACUGAAAAAUAGUCCGUCGAAAUUCUUGGACCAGCUAUCGAUUGAUAUGGUUUGAUCUGUUGUUCGUUUUGGCAGCAAAAUCAUAGAACUGAGUAGCACUGAGUUGCAAAAACUCCAAUUUGAAUUGCAGAAAACCAGUCAACAAAACUGGCAAUUGGCCCGGGCUAACUCACACAUGCUAGGGGUUGAUUCCUUGUCCAUUUUCUUUAUUGUUUCAGUUUGCAAAAAAGAUGCAUUCUUUAUCUGUUUCGUCUUUUGAUUCGCAGGAGCUCAACUUAGGGAAAGAUAGAGUAUGUUUUCUUGCCUUAUGGUUUGGCUCAUUGUGAUUUUCGUUUGCUAUAAUAGGCGAUUUAAUUUGAUUUACUUUGUGUCAAUCGAUUGAAGUUGCAUGUCAAGUUAUUUUGAUUGAUAAUAUUUAUUUGUUUAUUUCAUGUUGCAGCUAAAAGUAUUAACAACAUGAGCUUGGUUGUACCUUAUCAAUCCUUAAACUAAAGACUUCAGAAUUAGAGGUAAGGGGGAUUAUUAUAGUUUCAUAAUUUGUUUUCUCCUCUCUUAAUCUCUAUGGUGAUAUAUAUUUUUUCUUUACUCUAACUUAGGAGAAAGAAAAAUCGAUCAAAGAUCUCCUUAACAAAAUUGGCUCAGAGAUAUCCAAUGGCUUGUUUUGUUUACAUUCAGGCUGCCCUUUUUUUGCUCAUACUUUUAUUUUUCUUUCUACAAAUUGCAAAAGGUAGGAACCACCAAGUGUGAGGAGGUUGAAGCAAAUGCAACUCAACUUGCUAAUGACAAGAAAAUCUGCAAUCCCAAUAAGAAGCGCAAGUUAAAACCACAGUCUUUAGGCCCUACCGCUUUGGUUCAUCAAGUGGCAUCAGAGGGACAGGUUGAUGGUAGAAGAAGGAGGUCCUUACGAACAAAAUCCAGUGGCUUGAAGUCUGAAUAAUGUGAAUUUGUGAAUGACUUGCUCAAAAGAGAUGAUGGCGGAUCUCCAGUGACCCAUCAAGUGGGCCUAGAGGAAAAGGUUAUGGGAAGAAGAAGUUCCUUCCGAACAAGAUCCUGUAGUUUGAAAUCUGAAUCACAUGAAUCUAUGGAGUUGCACAAGAUUGAUGAUGCCAUACUUCUAGUGACUUGUCAGGUGCCAUCAGAGGAAAAGAUUGAUGGAAGAAGAAAAUCCUUGCGGAGGAGAUCCGGUUAUUUAAAGUCUGAAUCAUGUGAGCCUACUGAGAACUCAGUCAAGAUGGAGGAUGCCAAGUUUUUAGUUUAUACGAUCAAGAAUGAACGAGUAAGCUAUUGCUCAUGGAGAUUGUUCUACUUCCUCCAUAUCAAAUAUUUCUGUUGAACGAGUAAAGAAUGAGAAGCAUAAUUCAAUCGGGUCUUCAGAACUCGGGAAUCGGGAGUGCCAAAGAAGAUCCUCUGUUGGAAGGCCAUUGCGGAAGGCGGCUGAGAAGGUCGGUUCUUGCAAAGAAAUGAAUCUGAAUGUAAAAAUGUGAAGAUCAGAGUACGAUUCUGGGUUAUCUGCUUACAUCACUAAAAUUUCAGAUGGUGCUAGCUGAGAGCUGCUGAUAUUCUUGGAUCCACUUAAUAUAUCUGCUAGAUGAGAGCUGGACAUGCCAAUGUUUUCUAUGUUCUUGAUAUUUUGUGAUGACAUGGUGAAAUGUAUUACUGUAUUGUAAGAUUAAUUAGUAGGAACUCAUAGCUUAGUUUUGCAGCUUCUUUCCUUCCUUUUAGUUUGCCCUGCACAAAACAGGGAUAUUUUGAGACAAAAUAGUAGUAGCAUUAUAUGUUGUAUGAUUUGCUACGAUUGAAAUUUAUACUUGUCUCAAGGAAAAAAUGGUGCUUUGUUUUUU